rnacentral:lncRNA from 1 species
UCAGUUUGACUGGAAAACAUCCCCCUAAAGGUUUUGACUUGGCUUUAGCCUAGAAGGUAAGAACAAAGUGACAAGAUCCUUUAGGAGAUAGGGGUGCUCUCUUGUGGUUGUAAUUGCAUAUUUGGUUCUCAUGUGCUGCUUUGUGCUGCAAAGGUGACAUGAUUUUGCCUUGCACACUGAUAGUAGGUAUGAAUCCUGAAGAGCAAUCAUUUCAGGGCUUGCCUAUGUUGUAGUGAUUUGCCCGAGAAGAAAAACAUGUAGCACAGUAAUUUCAUGAUUGAAAUGUUACAUCACCUGAGGUAGCAUAAGAUUCUUCUAACUUGAUUUUGUCUGGUUUAUCACAGCUAUACAUACUUGCACUAACAGCCUUGAAUAGGACAUUCCAGGAGUGACUUGGCACACACUUGUACCUUUUCGAGGCAUUUGUAAACUACCGAAUCUGCUGAGCUCUUGCCCAUCUUGUGCUGUAUCUCUGCCACCACUCCGGAACAUGAGUGUAUAUAGUCUGGAUUGUGUGGAAGGUAUUUUAUAUUAGAACUUCAGGAGCUGGUAGAAAUUGACUUACCACUUGUUCCAUGGUAAUGUGUCUAAUGCAAUCACUUCAUUUCUCCUCUCUCCAGACACCUACUAUGUUUUUGUAUCAAUUAUGCAGUUUUGAUUGUUGUGGUUGCUGGCUUUUGGAGUGGCUGGAUGCUAAAGAUGAGGAUUUACCGUUUGGGGGGGGGGGGGGGUGAAUAUUGGUAUCAGUGCUUUAAUUUCUGUUAAGGGGGCAAAUUUUGACUUUUUCCUUUUUCCUCAUGUUUACUCGGUCAAAGUAUUUGUAUUCACCUGUUACCCCGUCUCUAAUCCCCAAAAAAGAAAGAAGUAGAAUUCCUUAAUUUCCUCUCUUUUUUUUUUUUUGGGUGGCUAAGCAAACUGCUAUCUGUUGAAUCGCGUAUGUUGGUGACAUUGGUGCUAUCAAAUCUUUGGUAAUCUCAAGGCGGUAUGCUAAAUGAUGGUUAUCAUAAAAAUAAGAUGAGACUGGGCAGAAAGAUGUUACUUAAAUAUGACAUCGAUAUUCUAGUAAAUUUUAUCGUAGAAGUAUAGUUUUUUUAACAAACCUUAAACUACGUAUUAUAAAUUUGGACUGCUAUUCUUAAAUAAUAUGAAUAUUUCUGUAAUUCGAUUUUCAACGCUGGACCUUUCCGAAAAUCGUAAGGAGAUACACAUGAACAAAAAUCAUCUAGAGUUUUAGAAAGUCCCAUCAUUUCCUUCUGCCUUCUUAAUCACCCGAUCUUUUUUUCCCCUUUUUUUCUGGAAUACCCAAUUUCAACAUAGAGUUCUUCUUAUAUGUAUAGUAUUUACUUAAAUAAUUUAAGAAAAAAUUGAUGAAUAUACUAAUUAAAUAUUAAUAAAUUAAUUUGAUUGACAAAACUCAUGUUAAAACUUAAUAUAUAAUUUAAUAAAUUUAAACUCUUGAAAGGCGUGAUCUGAAUUUUGUAGACUAACAAUAUAAGUAAAUCUUUUUAAAUAUGAUGGUAAGUUAUUACCACUGAGAAAUCGAUCCAAAGUUAAGGGUACUUAUGCCUUUUCAUCCAUCUCUUGAACGUCCAUGGUUACGAGCUUUUGCACUAUGCACAUGCAUGUACACCUGAACAUUUCCCCACCCCACACACCCACAGGAAAAAGGCAGAAGAGGAUUUGACUUCGUUUGAUUGAGAGAAGAAAAAAAAUAAAAAAAGGUAAAGAAAGAAAGAGUGAAGGAAAGAGAAAUAUUCAAUCUGAUUGAAUGCAGUUUUGACGUCCGCAAGAACUCUCUCUCUAACUUUCUCGCUCUAAAGAGGACAGCGCAGAAACUCAGAGAAAACUCUUCUCUCUACUGAAACUUCUUCACUUUGACAAAGCAAAGUCCCCAAGCUAAUUUGAGCUGUGGAUCUUGUUCUAUGCACUUUAUUGCGCGAUUUAGGGCUCGAUCAAGUGAACAUGUAAUUUAUUAAUCACUUGUUUUUAUUUUUCUACUCUCGAAUUAUUUACUGUACCUAGCUUAGUUUUCAGAGGAAUUUUUUUUCGUCUUUUUUAUUUCUCAGUUUUCUGAUUUUCGUCUUUAUUUGAUUAGUGAGUAUGAAGUAUGCUUUGUUUUUUAUUUUUCUUACUGUGUUGAGAUUUGAGUUUUGCUAUGUUUUUAUGGAAGCCAGGGAGAAAUUUGACUCAAUUAAACAAUUUUUUUUUUCUUGCAGGGAUAAGUGGAUAGAGAUAUUUAGUUGAGCAGAAAAAGAGAGGCUUUGGAAGUUUAAGAGUUAAAGCUGCUUGUAGCUUGUACUUGGUUAAAGCUAUUGAUGAUGCACAACAGGUUUUCUCAGCAGUGAGGGUCCUCCCUUUGGUUUGGCUCAAAAUAGGGACUUUGGAAUGUCAAUUGAUGUAGUAGGUUCUGCUUGUUGUUCUGUGUAAUUCUCUUUUCAGAGUGAAGUAUAAAGUCUCCAGAUCUGGGGUGUUAGGCUUCAUUCCGUUUUAGUUUUCUAUAAUUUUUUUAGUGUUUGUAGAUUGUUAUCUAUUGCAUAAAAGAUAUGGUGCCACCAGGACCUCCUAAUCCACUUGGAGGUGCCCAGCCUGUCCCGUCUUCGUUAUUGCGAUCAAAUUCUAGUUUAUUGGGUGGUCAAGGGGGUGGAAUGCCUACCCCAGGUGGUUUCCCUUCUAUUGUGUCACCUCGGACUCAGUUUGGUAACAUGAAUAUGCUAGGAAAUGCUCCAAAUGUUUCGUCUCUGCUCCAUCAGUCCUUAGGAAAUGGUGGUCAUAAUUCAGGGCGAGCUGAUAAUGGGGCCGAGUCUGAUCCAAUGGCCAGUGCUGGCAAUGGUAUGGGGUUUAAUGCUCCUUCAACAUCUUUUAGCUCAUCGGCCAUGGCAGCAAAUCCAAAUUCAGGUCAAGUUCAGGGACAGCGGUUUCCCAGCCAUUCUGGUAACCAGAUGUUAACUGACCAAUCACCGUCCCAACAGCUUGAUUCCCAGAACUACCAACAUAAUCAACAAUUUCAGCAAUUUUCUGCCCCUAGCAAUUCCCAAACACAGCAACAGCAGCAGCAAUUUCAAUCCAUGCGAGGUGGAUUAGGAGGUGUAGGACCUGUCAAACAGGAGCCCCAAGUGACCAAUGAUCAAACUCCACAGCAGUUGCAAGCACUACGAAACCUGGCAACUGUAAAGCAGGAGCCCCAACAGAUACAAAGUAUGAGAGGCCUUGCCACUGUGAAGAUGGAGCCACAACAUUCCUCACCCUCUUUGUAUCUACAUCAGCAACAGCAGCAGCAGCAGCAACAACAGCAAUUACUUCACAUGUCCAAGCAGUCCCCUCAAGCUGCAGCAGCAGCUCAGCUUUUUCACCAGCAGAGGCUUAUGCAGCUCCAGCAGCAACAACAGCAACAACAACUCUUGAAGGCUAUUCCUCAGCAGAGAAACCCACUUCAACCGCAAUUUCAACCACAGAAUCAUACUAUAAGGUCUCCUGUAAAACCAGCUUAUGAGCCUGGGAUGUGCGCCCGUCGGCUGACUCAUUAUUUGUAUCAGCAGCAACACAGGCCUGAAGUAAGAAAACUGUGCCAGCUAUAUUUCUGUGCGGUCCAUAACACUCUGCACCCUACCACACAGCUUCUCUGAUCUUAGUUCUUUUUUUUUAAGCCCUAUGAUGUUACAUUUGCACUACCUUUUUUUAUAGGAUAAUAACAUAGAGUUCUGGAGAAAAUUUGUUGCCGAGUAUUUUGCUCCAAAUGCCAAGAAAAAGUGGUGCGUCUCUAUGUAUGGAAGUGGUCGGCAGACCACUGGAGUUUUUCCUCAGGUUGGUUGUGUUAUUGGGUUUUCUUAUUCAAAUUUGAGUAAUCUUCUUAUUUAGUGAAAUUACCUCUUAUACGGCUUGCCGUUAUGAAAAAAUAAAUUCUUUUUUCAGCUCUAGUAACUAAUUUGGACUUGUUCCUAAAAUGUUAUGCAGUUUUAUGCAGACCAACUUUUUCCUUGUAUAGAAAAUUAGAAGUAAUCACUAUCAUUAAUUUGCAGGAUGUAUGGCACUGUGAAAUAUGCAACCGCAAGCCAGGCCGUGGUUUUGGUAUGUUUCUUUUGGUUUUAUAUCUUUUCUGUGUCAAAGAUUCAUUCUUCUUUGUAACUUUACAAAGCCAUUAUUGUUGACUUGUUUUUUCUGCACCCAUUUGGUUAUCCUUUCACUGUGUCAUCCUAAUUGGGAUCUGAUGUUUCUCAACUUAUUCAUUCAGAAGCGACCGCUGAAGUCUUGCCCAGGCUUUUCAAGAUAAAAUAUGAAAGUGGGACCUUGGAAGAGCUACUCUAUAUUGAUAUGCCUCGUGAAUAUCAGAAUUCAUCUGGACAAAUUGUCCUAGACUAUGCAAAAGCAAUUCAGGAGAGUGUUUUUGAGCAACUUCGCGUUGUACGUGAUGGUCAGCUUCGAAUAGUGUUUUCACAGCCUGAUCUAAAGGUAUAUUGAAGAGCUGAUAGCAUUUUGUUUUCGACAACCAUACUUGUUAAUCAGUUAUUAAGACAUAGCACGAUGCAGAUGAAUGUCUAUUAUUUUCUUUUAUCUGAUUUCCUUUUCGUCAACUUGGCAGAUCAUCUCUUGGGAAUUUUGUGCUCGACGUCACGAGGAGCUAAUCCCUAGAAGAUUGUUGAUACCUCAGGUUGAUCAAUGUUGCUUUGAAGUACUAAUUUACGCUGAUCUCUGUGUAGUCAUGGUUUAACUCUAACCUGACUUGUAUGCUUCUGUUUGCUAAUCCGGUUUAGCAAAAACUCUUUCUUUCUUUUAUAUUUUGUACAAGAGCAGAGGCAUGUUGUCUAGCUAAGUAGCUAUUUGCUACUCAAAUGAGGUCUUUAUUUGUUAAUGUCCCUUCUAGAUAUAUUUGAUGAGAAUGUGGUAUUUGAUGAGGUCUUUAUAUAUGUAUUUCGAACAUGGCCUGAGCAUGUUUUUCCCCCCUCUAAUUUUCCUUUUCAUCAUGACUUGGUAAAGUUUAAAUGCAUCUAAGAGAUUUGACUUGUUUUCCUUUUUCACUUUUAAUUAAUGACCAUCUUGUUAUCAAAACAGAAUAAUGGUUGCUGACCAUCUUACUCUCAUCUCUUGAGGCUCGAUCCAUGGUGGUGAAUUGGUUGGAUCAGUUAGUGGAUUGCGCUAGCCGCUAUUAAUCGCCUUUUCUGACUUAAAUGCAAAUUACCAUCUAUGGGUUUUCUGACUUGAAAGCGAUUAUGCGAAUUACCAUAUAUGGGUGUGGAGUCCAUCAGCAUAAAUGUUGAUCUAUAUCUGUUUUCUUAGGGAUAUUUUUGAGAAGGAUAGCAGUGCAUUGGGUAGUAGUGUUAGACCUUGCCCCUGUUAAGGGUUUGCUGAUGCUAUAGUAUUGCAACAGUGUAGAUGGGUGGCGAAAAAAAUUAAAUUGCCGUUUCAGCUGUUGGCAAUGAUAACCGAGGCCAGUGGAGCCUGAAUUUUGGGGCUUUAAGUUCUGUGUCCGGAGGAAAUUUGUGCUUCUUCAUGCCGAUAUAUCUUUGUAAAGUUUCCUCAUAUUUGUGUUUCCUGUGCUUCUGUGAGCUUUAACUUCUAUAUUGGUUUCUCACAUCUUUUUGGCUAAUUGUUUGUCUUGUCUUGAUAAAGCUCCAUCUUUUAUUUUUUUUGGAUAUAGUGAUUUUUGCAUCCUUUUGAUUUGCUUUUAUGAUUUUCACGCGUAGGUAAGUCAACUCGGUGCUGCAGCUCAAAAGUACCAGGCAGCAACCCAAAAUGGAUCAUCUACUGCAUCUGUUUCUGAGUUGCAGAAUAACUGCAAUAUGUGAGUCCCUGAAAUUUAUGGUACAGUUUUUGUACGAAAUUCUUGGGCUGACAAUAUUGUGCUGUGUCUUUGUGUAACGGAGCCUAACUAUUUUCAUUUAGCAUAUAUAUGUCACUCUAUGUUGUAAAGUUAUUUUCUUAGUAAUUCAUUACGCAUUCCAGUUUUUACGUGGGCAAUAAUGAUGAGCCAUGUCUCACAUGUUAGAUUGCUUUUAAACUAUUAUUUUGUGGGUAUUGGCUUCUUUGAUGAUCUGUGCUGGUACUUCCAUUUUACAAUUUCAUUUUUAGCAGAAUUAAGUUGGGACUGUGGAUGCUAAGGUUGUGAUCUUUGACCAGUCAGUCAUCUGAUGGUUUUAACUCAUAGUGAGUUUGCUGUGAAAUAAUUUUUUAUUUGUUUUAGUUGUGUGUAUGUCUGUUAGCAGAUUUAGCUCAAAUUUUAAUGUUACGGAUUGCUGUCAGUGGUCGUGCUGCCAAGUCUUGGAAGCUCAAUUUCUCCUGAAACCAUAAAUAUGGAUGUCUAGUUGAUACCUGUGGUUUGUUAUAUUUGGAUGAAGAAUUGAAUUGCAGUUGUGUUUGAUUGUUAAAAUGUCUUUAUUAACUAACACGAGCGUCUUGUUGGGUUCUGAAAGCUCAACUUUCCAUUUCCUGAGGAAAUGAAAGAAUAAUGGUCAACUACCUACCCCCGGUGGUGUCCCGACCAGCUUUUGCGCACCUCGACUAAUUUCACGGGGUGCCUGCUAGCUCCCACCAGCACAGGUGCCGGAAAGAACUUUAUCAAACUUCUGAUUUUCCAAUAAAUAAUAAGGAUUAAAUAUAAAAUGACUCGCGUUGUUUGUACCUUUUUUGGGGGGGGGGGGGGGAAACCUAAGUUGCGCGGACUCCUCGUUUUUGGUGUCGUACCCAUCUCGACAGGGGACGGGAGCGAGAUACGUCCCGGAUUUGGUCAACUAACUUCGGAUACUUUGACAUAUGCCCAUCGACAAAUUUAGGGGGAAAUUGAUAUUUUGAUUUCUCAAAAUUAAAAAUAAAACAGAUUUAAGACAUGCGUAAUGGCAUACCUUUAAUAUUGUAGUACUUUUGUCUCAUAUUUGCUGCUUUGUGUUCUAGAAAAACCAAGAAUUCAAGGGGUCGUGUUCUGAGUUUGGACUUAUAGCUCGAUUUUUUAUAAUUUUGAAAUUUUUUAGCCGAAUCCCCGCACCCGUAUCCAUACUUGGAUCCGCACCCCCGAAUCUUAAAAUUUAGAUUUUACCGAAUCCGACACUCGGAUCUGUGCCCGUAUCGGAUGCCCGCACCCGAGUCCGAGCAACUUAGGGGGAAACACAUCUUGUUGUUGUUCAGUGACUGUGUACAAUGGAGCUACAUAUAUUUGGGAGCUAUAUGUAAUAGUGGGAGAAGGGAAAGAAUGAGGGGAAGGUAUAUACAUGCAUACCCUUUUAUGUCAAUCUAUUAACAACUAUGACCUAAUCCCAAAAAGAAGGUUGGCUUAGUCUUACAAAUCCAAAUCCUCUGUAACCUUUCAACUCUAUUAAUAAUCCAAUACUGCUUUGCUUAUAAAUAAUUUUCUUUUAAUGCAAAUUAGGAUUUCUCUAAAUCUUGAGGUUAAUUACUCACAAUUUUUCUUGUAUUGGAAUACCUAUCUCUAACCAAACUAAAAGAUUACUGGCAAACAUCAGAAUUAAUGCGAGUGUAAUAAUAAUACCUAGGCUAUAAUCCUAAUUCGUCGGUGUCACCUAUUUGGAUAAUUUGCUUAUGUUCUGUCCUAGUUAAGUCAGCAUUGACUCGAGAAAUGGUAAUCUUUUGGCAACAACUCCUCGCCAUAUGAUUUUAAGUCGACUCCCCCUUUAGCACCUUCAAUCGUAAUAAAAAACUAUCUAUAUAUAAGGUGCAAAAUUAUGUGUACAUAUUCUUGUAUUCUAGAAAAUUGUUUUAUGCUUGUGUUAAUGGUCAUGUAUUUUUUUAUAUAUCUUUUAUUUUUAAGUAAUAUCAGUUUUGAGAUUUGACUUGUGAUUUUGAUUCAGGUUUGUUGCCUCAGCUCGUCAGUUGGCAAAAGCUUUGGAAGUUCCAUUGGUAAAUGAUCUAGGGUAUACAAAGAGAUAUGUGCGAUGCCUUCAGGUAUGCACCUUGUUCUGAUGCUGGAAGGUUUUUAUUUUGGCCCUUUUUUGGAUUUGUUUGGAGAUAUUCCGCUUGUAUCAAUGUGGAUAUCACUACAAAUUCUUUAAAUAUUUGCUUCUGUUAGUGCUUUUAACUUCCCGACCAGGUCAUGAUUUGCCNNNNNNNNNNNNNNNNNNNNNNNNNUUUUAAUCUGUCAUCUUCCCGUGGAAUUCAAAGCAAAGCUGAAAGGUCAAAAUUCAAAUUUCUAGCAUGUAGCAGCUCAGGGAUGUUGACAAUUUUCUUUUCUCAAUAUUGGAGAUUCGUACUGGUAACUCUGCUCAUGAGUUAAUGUGUGAAGUAGACAGAAUGUAUUUUGGCCUAUUCUUGGGAUAGAGAUUUCUGAUGUAACUCUGUUCCUGUUGAGAAACGUUUUCUUUCACUUUUCAGAUGUUACCCUAUUUCCACAAUUUUAUUUCAUUGCGUCAUAAAGGGUCUAAUGGUACAAGAUAACUUCCAGUUCAGCGAUUUCCCCCCUUCUUUUUACUUUCCAAGUGUUUUUCACGUAGGCCUAGACUUUUUUCCAAUGACAUUUUCACUAUAAAAAUAAACUGACUGAAAAUUGCACAUGUGGUGCAUUCAAGUGAUAAUUCUUCUGAUUUUGUUUUAAUCUUCCUUUCAAUUAACAGUUUCAUGGGAUAUAAUUUCUUAUUCUGCUAUGUACUGCUGGUGCAAUUGCAGAUAUCAGAAGUUGUUAAUAGCAUGAAAGAUUUGAUUGACUACAGCAGAGAGACAAGGACAGGGCCUAUGGGUAAGUCUGCUUGUGUACCUCUACUUGUUCCUGAGGCUAGCUCAAGGUUUUCUGUACCUACCUAUUAAUCUCAAAGAUCAAAAUGAGGUUGCAUGGGCUAAUCUUUCUCUGCUGUUUGAUGGUUUAGAGAUUAGGAUACGAUCGGUUUUCAUCACAAGGCAUAAAUGUUAUCAUCUAAAGUUAAAUUUUCACUAAAGACGAUGAAUUGCUUUUUGAGGUGGCAACUGGUAACUACUAAUGUACAGGUGAAAAAACCCAAACUGGCUGUGUUUGAAUGCAGAUUUCAUUCUAUGUGCCUUUAAGUUGUCGGAGGUAAAAUACUGAUUCAAAAAAAAAAAAGAGCUUCUCGAAUAUAAAGUAGUGGGUUGUGUAGUGUAAGAACUUAACCCUGAGAGUACUGCAUGAAUGUUGGGAUUGAUACAGUUCUUUAAACCUUACAAUUUGUGCUUGAAAUUUGGCUUUUCAGAGAGCUUGGCUAAGUUUCCUCGUAGGAAUGGUUCAUCGGUUGGGGUACAUGAUCCAGCUCAACCAUCUGAGGAUCAGUCUCAGCAGCAGCCACAGUUACAGUCUCAGCAGCAGCAACAGCAACAACAGACGGCCAGUCAGAACUCAAACCACGACAGCUCUGUCCAGGCUGGUGCAAUGCAACUUGCUUCCAGUAAUGGGAUUCCAAGUGUAAACAACUCUUUGAACCCAGCAUCUGUUACUUCGUCUAGUAGUUCUGUUGUUCGGCUAUUGCAUCAAAAUUCCAUGACCUCUAGGCAACAGACCCCAAUGAAUGGUGUGAACAGCCCUUAUGCAGGAAAUGGUGUGAAUAGCCCCUAUGCGGGAAAUGCUGUUCAAAUGCCUUCACCAAGUUCUUCAAAUACAAUGCCACAAUCUCAACCAAACCCGUCUACGUUCCAAUCCCCAACACCGUGUUCAUCAAGCAAUCCACCACAAACUUCUCAUGGUGGCUUAUCAUCAGGACCACAUGUGAAUUCUGCCAAUUCCCCGAAUAUUUCAGUUCAUCAACCCACUCUUUCAGGUGAUAUUGAUGCUAAUGACUCUCAAAGUUCUGUACAAAAGAUCAUACAUGAUAUGAUGAUGUCUUCCCAACUUGGUGGAGGUGGCCUUGUAGGUGGUGGUACCAUGGUGAAUGAUAUUAAAAGUGUAAAUGGUAUGAUAGCAACUGCUAAUAAUUCCAUUCUUAAUGGAAGCAGCUGCCUUGUUGGGAAUGGGACAGCAAAUGCUAAUAUAGGUAUGGGUCCAGGAUAUGGCAACAUGGGCAACGGACUGAGCCAGGCUGCAAUGGCCAAUGGAAUUCGGGCUGCAUUAGGUAAUAAUUCCGUGGCUAUGAAUGGAAGAGUAGGCAUGCCAAUGUCACGAGAGCAAAGUAUGAGUCAACAGCAACAAGAUUUGGGAAACCAACUACUUAGUGGUCUAGGAGCAGUCAAUGGUUUCAAUAACCUUCAGUUUGACUGGAAAACAUCUCCCUAAAGGUUUCGACUUGGCUGUCGCUAAGAAAGUAUGAACAAGGUGACAAGAUCCUUCUUGUGGAUGUAAUUGCUUAUUUGGUCUUCAUGCCACUGCUUUGUGCUACAAAGUUAACGUGAGUUUGCCUUGCAAACUGGGAGUAGAUAUGGUUCCUGAAGAGAGAUCAUUUCAGGGCUUGCUUCCAUUGUACUGAUUUGCGAGAGAAGCAAAAUAUGUAGCACAGUAAUUUCAUGGUUGAAAUGUUACAUCACCUGAGGUUGCAUAAGAUUCUUCUAACUUGAUUUUGUCUGGUUUAUCACAGCUACUUAUUUGCACUAACAGUCUUGAAUAGGACAUUGCAGAAGUGACUUGGCGAACACUUGUACCCUUUCGAGGCAUUUGUAAACUACCGAAUCUGCUGAGAGCUUGCCCAUCUUGUGCUGUACCUCCGUCACCGCUCCGGAACAUGAGUGUAUAUAGUCUGGAUUGUGUGGCAGGAUUUUUUAUUAUAGAACUUUCAGGAGCUGGUAGAAUUGCCUUGCCACUUGUUCCAUGGGCAAUGUGUCUCAUGCAAUCACUUCAUUUCUCCUCUCCCCUGACUCCUACUAUGUUUUUAUAUCAAUAACAGUUUUGAUUAUUGUGGUUGCUGGCUUUUCGAGUGGCUGGAUGCUGAAGAUGAGGAUUUGCCUGGGUGGGUCUUUUCCGGGGGGGGGGGGUGUUGGGGAGGUGGGAAGAGAGUUGGUAUCAGUGCUUGAAUUAAGGGGCCAUUUUUGACUUUUGAGCUUUUCCUUCCUAUGUUU